UCCUGCAGGAUCAUUUCCACCGGCUUGUCUGCAGCAGUGAAAGGGAAAAGGUCUCUGUGCCAAUCCGGGCCAUUGGUGCCCGCCCAGUCUUGGACUUCCCUGACCAGCUGGACUUCUCGUCGUGUCCAGUCAAUCACAGCACCCAGCAGACUCUGCUGGUUCACAACACCGGGAACCUGGAAGCCUGUUACAGCCUCAGCACUGAGAGCCCUUUCACUGUCAGCCCAGCCACGGGAACCCUCGAUGUUGGUGAAGCCAAGCAAGUGACAGUGGAAUAUCACCCGCUGCAGACCGGGCACCAUUCCACAUCCCUGGCAGUGCACUGCGACAGAGAAUUGCCUGGGAUCUGAGUGGGUCACCUGAGCACACCUGACAAAUCUCACUGUAAAUACUGUCACCUGGGGACAAAUCUCUACAAACCCA